CGAGACUCAUUAAAAAUCGAAAGGCGGCGCCGAGGUGCAUGGACUGCGCGCGCCAAACCAACUAAGCGGGCCUUUGAUUGUAAAACGUUUUCGGAGCGAGGCACACGUUGCGCGGGGUUACAAUUUUAGCAUUGGCAGUAGCAGUAGCAGCAGCAGGCAGGCAGGCAGCAUCAGCACCGGCAUCGUCGCUCCGUGUGUAGGGUAUUAUAAGAAGAGGAGGACCGACCUAUGGAACUUCACUCCCAGAACUGCACGGGCCGAGCCAAGCCAAAACCAAAAUACCACCGAUAUAGCCGGAGAGCCUAUACCUCCUUGGGAGAAUCUAAGCUAUACCCAGGCUCUGCUACCUAGUACCCUACCCACGUGAC